rnacentral:rRNA from 1 species
GAUGAACGCUGGCGGCGUGCCUAAUACAUGCAAGUCGAACGCUUCACUUCGGUGAAGAGUGGCGAACGGGUGAGUAAUACAUAAGUAACCUGGCAUCUACAGGGGGAUAACUGAUGGAAACGUCAGCUAAGACCGCAUAGGUGUAGAGAUCGCAUGAACUCUAUAUGAAAAGUGCUACGGGACUGGUAGAUGAUGGACUUAUGGCGCAUUAGCUUGUUGGUAGGGUAACGGCCUACCAAGGCGACGAUGCGUAGCCGACCUGAGAGGGUGACCGGCCACACUGGGACUGAGACACGGCCCAGACUCCUACGGGAGGCAGCAGUAGGGAAUUUUCGGCAAUGGGGGAAACCCUGACCGAGCAACGCCGCGUGAAGGAAGAAGUAAUUCGUUAUGUAAACUUCUGUCAUAGAGGAAGAACGGUGGAUAUAGGGAAUGAUAUCCA